rnacentral:rRNA from 1 species
GGAUGGGAUGGAGGAAACCCUGAAGCAGCAACGCCGCGUGAGGGAUGAAGGGCUUUUGCUCGUAAACCUCUGUAGUGAGGGAAAAAAUUUCCACUCUGUGGAAUAUGAUGGUACCUCAAAAGUAAGCCCCGGCUAACUACGUGCCAGCAGCCGCGGUAAUACGUAGGGGGCAAACGUUGUCCGGAUUUACUGGGUGUAAAGGGUGCUCAGGCGGUUUUGUAAGUCAGAAGUGAAAUCCUAGGGCUUAACU